ensembl:lncRNA
GGCAAGUCUGAAACCUGUAGGGUAGGCUGGCAGGCUGGAGAUUCAGUAAGACUUGAUGUUACAGUCUUGAAUCUGAAUUCCACAGGGUAGCAGGCUGGAAACUUAGGUAGAAAUUCUGUGCUGCAAUCUUGAGAAGAAUUGCUCUGGAAAACCUGUCUUUGCUCUUAAGACCUUUGACUGAUGCAUGAGGUCCACCCAUAUUAUGGAGGAUAGUCUGUUUUAUGCAAAGUCUACUGACUUAAAUGCAAUCAUAUCUAAGAAAUAACUACACAGAAACAUCUAGACUAGUGUUUGAUCAAACAACUGGGUACUAGAACCUACCAAAUUGACACUUAAAGUUAACCAAAAAAAAGGGAACGUGUCACACUCUGACCCCAGGGUCUGUUGCUGCUAUCCAUGUUGGUUCUCCUCUCCCCCAUCUACUACCAACAAUUUUGCCAAAGUUUGGAUGACUCCUUACUUUAUUUUCUCCUCCCAGAAUAAUGAUGGGGGCACUCUCUUUGGCUCUUACAUGUUUCCUGCCACCCCACCUGCUCAGCUUACCACCUACAAAGCUCUGAGGUUGCUCUAAGAAGGAAGCCUCAAGCUAACAUCCCUGUACAUUUUAAAGUGAAAAAGAGUCUUCAAACAAAUCUUUGAAUUCACCUUUUAGGAAAAAGCCGUGGGUCCUCGUUACUAAUUUAUUUUGAAAGGAGCUUUCCAUCAAAUGGAAGCAGUGUUUGUGAACAUUCUGAGUCAUGGGAAUGAUGAGACAACUUGUUUUUGGAUGUGUUUACCCAAGAGUCUACAACUACAUGUUUGCAGUGAUAAAUAUGGAAACUGAGAAGUUUGCUGAGCUGGUCCCAUCUCCACAUUCAUCCAGGCAGAUGGCACAUGCAUCAUACCCAUCUCCUUUCUGGAAAUUACCUAGACAACGCCUCUUAAGAUGAUCUUUAUAAAAUAUUUCUUCUAGUUGGAUGUUUGUCCUGGAAAAAUUGUGUGAAUAUGAAAAUGAGUGUCAGGAUGAGAUGAAUUAAUUAAAAAGAAGGAAGAAUUCCAGAAGUCAGCUUAAUUCUGGAACUGAAUCAAUGUCACUUCUUUCUUCAUAUGUGAAUUCAUCUUUCAUAGAGUUAUCUGAUACUUUCCCAACAAAGGCAGAUGGAAUGUCACCUUUUCCCCCCAAAACACAUUAUGUGGAUUCCAUACUAAUUACUUCAACAGUAUCAAUACUGUGAACUAUGGCUGCUUUGUAUCCUGUUCUCUGUGUAUUUAAAAUCUUAAUAUCAAAAUUACCCUUUAUAGAACUGGGCAGAGAAAUACAAGAUGAGCUUAGAGCAUCUUGAAAGCAGGGAAGUAAGGAAGUUCUCACUAAAGAAAUAAGAAAGUAAGGAAAUAGGAAGGAAGAGAGAGAGAGAGAAAUAGAAAUUGGAGGUUGGGGGAAGAGUGGUGGGGAAAAACAGAGGGAAAAAGGAAAGAAAGAAGGAAAGAAAGAAAGAAAGAAAGAAAGAAAGAAAGAAAGAAAGAAACAGAAAAAGAAAGAAAGACGGGAUGAAGGAUGGGGGAGUGUCAAAGGGACACAGGAGCCAACCGAAAGAACUCCCAAUGGCCAAAGUUAGAAAAUUUUGAACAAUAACAAAAAAUGAUAGUAAUGGAUUAUAACACAAAGAAUAAAGUAACUAUCCAUUAAUCUAUACUGAUAUAA